CCCAGACAGAGCCCUCGCUGGACCAAGUCCUCCAAGAGCGGGAUGAAGCCAUUGCCAAGAAGCAGGCAGUGGAGGCUGAGCUGGACACAUGCAGAGCCAGGCUGCGAGCUGUGGAGGCCCAGCUGCUGGAGGUCCUGGAGGAGAAACUGAGACUGAGGCAGGAAGUGGAGGCCUGGGAGGUAGGGUGGGAAUGCUGGUCGGGCCUGGGAGGAAUGGGGAGAAGGGCACACGGUCUGCCCCUGAACCUGCUCUCCUGCCCUCAGGAGGACAUGCAGCAGCUGGUGAGACAGCGGGUCGAGAGUCAGCUGCAGAGAGAGUCCAGGGGCACUCUAGGAGUCCCUGUGGCCCCCGGAACAGCCAGGACCCCCCGGGGCCGAUUCCCCCUGGGUCAGUGGGGACGUUGGCGGUGAGCGAGCUCAGCCCAGGACCUUGGGAGCAGUGUCUUUAUUCAUUAAAGCUUGAGGUCUGACCACCUCUGUACCCUCAU